UCGAUCUCACAUCGAUUUUUGUAGCAAACAUACACUAUAUCCACAGCAAAUGUCGAAACUUGUGGCCUUUUGGUAUCCAAUCUCUCGGUUUGUGUGUUGCCCUUGGCGUCUGUAGUUAUGAUAAUGAUAUUAACAAGUUUUCUGUCAGUUUUUGAUCGCUUUGUUGUGUAAAUAGAAUCAGUGCUGACUAAUUCUAACAUCCUCACGUAAAUGGCGGUCUGUAUCCUGGUGAUCAGAUCUGGGGAUCCAAUAUCGUAUAUUCCUUUUCAUGAUGCCAGGACUCUGGUCUUCUGCUCCUACAAAGAGGCUACUAACACAGUUCUGGAAUUCAUGACCCCUGGUUCAGUGUUUCUGGUGCUCUAAGUCAGGGUCUCCAGUGACAGGCUUCAGUGACUACAGUAACAGGCUUCAGUGACUACAGUGACAGGCUUCAGUGACUGCAGUGAUGUCAUUUUCAUAAGCAAACUUUUCUGAAGAGGGGGAAGGUAGAAGAUCCAAACACCGGAAUCCCCCUCUGGAUCCGCCACUGGUACAGUCAGGAAGUAUUGUUGUAAGGUGCAUUUCUUG